rnacentral:lncRNA from 1 species
UGAUUCAAUAUUUUAAUUCGCUAAGGGCACAGCUCAACUGCAGGAGGCCAGCUGGGCGGCAAGGCCACUCCACUGACAGCCACAGCCUGUGGCCCUCUGUGGGCACGGUCCAGGGGCACAGCCACCCCCAACAGAGACACACCCUCACACACACUCACUCCUGUACUCUUGGUCUUGGACACACCUCCAGGCCUCUGGAACUGGCCCAGGGUCCCGCUUGCCCUCACAGCCACCCGUCCUCCUAGCGCCCAGGGCGCCCACGGCCCCUCUUAGACUUCUUGGUCCCUGAGGGGGGUCGGAUGGGGAGGGGGGCAGAGCUCGAGGGUGGCGGUGGUGGUGGCAGGAGAGGAGGUAGAGGGGACUCCGUGGGCUCCAAUGGGCCAGGACUGGGCCGGAAUCCCUCAAAGGGUGAGAAUUUCAGGGGGCUGCAGGGAAAACCAAGGCUGAGUCAGCACCUACUGGCACUGGGGUCAGAGGGCCAACUUCCCCACCUGCCUGGGCACACAGACUAUGAGGUCAGGUGCCCAGCCAGGCAGCCUGUGCCACGAGGGGUCCCCAGUGGCAGAUGACAAAGCGGAGGCUAGCACUGAGAUCCAGCCAAGGCAGCCCUGGGGUGGACGGGCAGAGCCAAAGCUAGAACUGGCCUCCUGCUCCAGCUACACGCUCCCUUCUGCCCUGUGGUACCUGACCGGGGUCCGGGGGCUGCUGUUCAGGCGCCUGGGGGAGCGUAGCUUGGGCUGGAAGGAGAAGCCCUCCUUGCUGCUGUCCAGGACGGAGGGCGCCACGUACGUGAAGCCCUGGGAAGGAGGUGCAGGGCAGGGAUGGGCAACGCUCAGCGUCCCCCGCUCCUUAGCCACAAUCCUUCCCGUGUCCCCAUAACCCUCGGGCCACAAAGGACCUCACCAGGAAGGCCUGGUUGGCGCUCUCACUGAGGGCCGUAUCAUCUGGACUGUCCACUGGCGUCUGCCGUGUGAAGUGGAUGUCAAACUGGCUCACGUCCUCCUCCGACUGCUGUGAGCGACCCGAAUGGGGAGGAGGGGUCAGGGAGCGUCCAAGAUGGGCCCUCCACCUGCCCCCAGGCCGGUGGGACCUCCACUCACCAGACAGGGCCUGAAAGGGGGGUCUACGCGGCGAGCCAGGAGGUCAUCCCAAUUAAUGUGUCGGAAGAAGGGGUGUCUCUGUGGGUAGAGUGCCCCCAAACACCACCAUUUCACCCUCUUCGGCUCCCUCAGUAACUCCCUCUGCCCUGAGGCCCUGCCUGCCCCCUGUCCUUUGGGGGCUCAGCCCCGCCCUCUCCUGAUGGUCCCAGACCCACCUGCACAUCAGCAGCGUCUCCUGGGCCGCCACCCAUCCGUUGGCUGGGAUUCCGCUUCAGAAACUGCGGGGCGAGGGCAGAGGGUGAGGGUCUGGGGGAUAGACACUGACUGUGUGUUCCCCUGUGUUCCUGGGGGCUGGCUGGGGCGGGGAAGGGUGGAGGAGGGAGAAGGCCUCUGGAGUUGGGUCUCCACCUACGGGCCACCCUAGGACUUCCGAACUUGGUCCAAUGGGCCCUCUGCCAUGAAGCCUUCGUAAAGGCACCUUAGUCACCGGGAUCACUCCAGGGCACUCCAGCAGGGAUCCAGUCUCCAAACCCACCCUUCCCACUUUUAUCCCUAAUGAUUGCCUUCGUGAUGGGAGAGCAGCUAGCUCAUCGUGAACCUUUUCUUUGGCUGAUGAGAGCUUGGACUACAAAUAUGUACAGGGUCAGCAGCUGGUCUACAACAGAGCUAAGGCACAAGCUCGGUGUCUUGGAACCCAAAGCAGGUGCCGCUUCAUCCCAAAGGCAUACUGCACAAGUGGGGAUGUCGCACAGCCCAGAGGACCCCGUACGGGGCCUAGAAGACAUGGGGGCUGGACCAGGGGCAGGAGGGAGCCCAACCCCCCCCCUUUUUUUUUUUAAGUUUAUUCAUUUAUUCUGAGAGAGAGAAAGAGAAUCCCAAGCAGGCUCUGCACUGGGGCUCGAACUCAUGAACCGUAAGAUCAUGACCUGAGCUGAAAUCAAGAGUCCGGACGCUUAACUGACUGAGCGCCCCCAGGCGCCCCCGGAGCCCACCUUUUUGACGAGGUCCCGGGCAUCCGGGGUGAGGUAGGGGGGCAGUGUCAGCUUCCCUUUGAUGAUCUUGUCCAUGGUUUUCUUCCGGUUCUCCGCAGUGAAGGGUGGCUGGAGAAAGCAGACAGUGAGAGGAGACUUGCGGGCUUCACCCCAGGCCCUGCCCCUGGCCGGGAUGGGGACCCCCUCCCACCCCUCUCCCCCCUCCCCUCCUCCCAAGGAGGCUGGACUUGCCGAUCCAGUGAGCAUGUCGUACAUCAGGGCCCCCAGGCUCCACCAGUCCACCGCCCGGUUGUGGCCACUGCGCACCAGAAUCUCAGGGGCCCUGAGGGGACGGGUGAAACCAUCAGCCCGGCCAGGCCUUUCCCGGCAGUUCUCCCCACCCCUGGUCCCAGCCAGGUACCACCUACAUGUACUCAAUGGUGCCACAGAAGGUGUGGGUGACGGCACCCUCAUGGAUCGACUCCUUGCAGAGUCCAAAGUCUGUCAGUUUGAUGUGGCCUGGGGAAGAUGUUGGAGAGGGUGGUCAGGGCCCUGGCUCACUGCACGGUGCUCCUCGGCCCUCCCGGCAGAUUCUGACCCGCCUCGCAGCUGCGGGGGGCAGGGUGCACGCGCGCAUGCGCACCCUGGCUGCUGAGCAUGAUGUUCUCAGGUUUGAGGUCCCGGUAGAUGAUGCCUUGGGAGUGCAGAUGGCCCAGGGCCAGCGUGAUCUCUGCCAGGUAGAAACUGCAGAGACAGGACAGGGUGAAGGCAAGGGUAGGGGUGGGGCUUGCUCUGGGGAGAGGGGAUCCCUGGAGCCCCUCAGGAGAGGCAAGAAGUAAUACCUACCAGGCCGUGUCUUCCAGGAAGAUGCCCUCUCGCUCCAGAUGCGUGAAGAGCUCACCGCCUGCGACACAAACACGUCAGCAGCUGUGUGCUGGGAGCAAGUGCCUUCGCGCUCUGAAUCUUGGUUUCUUCUUGGGGAGAGUGGGACUCAUAAUUCCGGCCCUACCUGCCUCACAGAGCUGCCGUGGGGAUUCAAUUCAAUUCAGCAAACAUCUACCGACGCCUACUCGGUGUCUGGCCCUGUGCUGGGUGAAGCUGGGGACACAGAGAUGAAGAGACCCAGCCAUUGCCCUCAGGACGCUCAGUCUAAUGGGGAGACAGACAUGCACACAGGUGCUCUAACAUGCCAGACUGAGGCAACAGCUCCAAGAGCUUAACCCAAAAAAUCUCACAGAGGCGGCAAAAUUACUCCUAAUGUGAGGGGACACAGCCCACGGUAGCAAUGAGAAUUAAGGGGGCGCUGAGACAGACACAGAUACUGGAGCUCACAGGGCCCAUCUGGUGCAGAUGGGACAGGGGGAGGGGUCAGGCCCCACCACUUCGUGGCCAGCAGGGGGCACCAGGCCAAGGAGGCCAGGCUUAUCUGAGCAGUUACAAGGAGCCAUGACUGUGAGUGUUGGGGACAAUUCCAUGCCGACACGACGAGCACCCUGGGAGUUCGUGGAGGAGACAUUAGGAAGAGGGUGAGCUGAAGGCCUCAGGCCCGGUUUGGAAACAACUGUGACUCGUGCCCUCCCCUCAAGAGAGUGGAGAUGAUGGAGGACGCUGCCAAGAAUGAACCAGCUGGAUCUGGGACCUGAUGGGACACAGGGCACCCAGGAGAGAGGAGCAGGACAUGAAGGGGUGGUGGAUGUGGACAAAACAAGCCCCUGGGUUUCUGUACGAACUCCCACUGUUCCCGUCCACCCCCAAUACAGGUGAGGGACACAAGAGGUGCUGGACAGACGUUUGCUGAAUGAAUGGAUGGAUGGAUGGAUGGACGGACGGAUGGAUGAAGGGAUGGAUGGACAGACGGAUGGAUGAGUGUGGGGGCCCCCUAGCCAUUCUACACACCACAUCUCUCCGGGCUUCCCCCAGAGCUCCCAGUGCUUCCUGGCUGGUUCCCUGGCCCUGGUUCCCCCGCUGGGCCCGCGCUCAUACCACUGAGGCACUCGAGGAUGAGGUAGAGUUUGCCACCAGUCUGGAAGGCAUAGGCCAGUUCCACAAUGAAGGGGUGCUUCACUGACUCUAGAAUGUUCCGUUCAGCCCGCGUGUGUGCUGUGUCCUUGGCGUUGCGCACAAUUUUGGCC